rnacentral:rRNA from 1 species
UACGUAGGGGGCUAGCGUUGUCCGGAAUCAUUGGGCGUAAAGCGCGUGUAGGCGGUCCGGUAAGUCCGCUGUGAAAGUCGGGGGCUCAACCCUCGAAAGCCGGUGGAUACUGUCGGGCUAGAGUGCGGAAGAGGCGAGUGGAAUUCCUGGUGUAGCGGUGAAAUGCGCAGAUAUCAGGAGGAACACCAGCGGCGAAGGCGGGUUGCUGGGCCGGCACUGACGCUGAUGCGCGAAAGCUAGGGGAGCGAACGGG